ensembl:ncRNA B0524.9 ncRNA
CUAUCAAAAAGUUGUCAACUAAUAUAUUGUAGCAAAUUUAAUUUCCCACAAUUUGUUAGUAGACAACUUUUUUCUAGCUCUUU